GGGGGGGGGCAGUUCUUCGACCCCGCGCAGGUGCUGUACACCUACGAGUCGCCGGCCGGCUACGGUUUGAUCGGGCUGCAGUUCCUCGCCUACCUCUGGUUCUGCUACGCCGUCCUGGUCACCCUCAAGCAGGUCCCCGAAAAACAGCCCUUCUACCUGCCCUUCUUCGCCGCUUACACCCUCUGGUUCUUCGCGGUGCCGGUGACGGCGCUGAUCGCCAACUUUGGGAUCCCCAAGUGGGCGCGGGAGAAGAUCGUCAACGGGAUCCAGCUGGGGAUCCACCUCUACGCCCACGCCGUCUUCCUGGUGAUGACACGACCCUCGGCCGCCAACAAGAACUUCCCCUACCACGUGCGGACCUCCCAGAUCGGCUCCGCGGAGGGGGGGGCGGCCGCCAAGUUCCCCCCCCGGCACGGUUACGGCAACGUCACCUUCAUCAGCGACUCCGUCCCCAAUUUCACCGAGCUCUUCUCCAUUCCCCCCCCCGGCCCCAACGGAUCGCCCAGCGCACGGAAGCAGGUGGAGGAGACGCCGGCGGCGGAGUGGGGACCCCCCCCGGGGCGCGUGGUGACCACGACGGAUCUGGGGGCCCCCCGCCCCCCCCAAAAGGGCACAGGGGCAGGGGGCGAGGGCCAGGGCCCCCCGUCCCAGCUCCAGGCCCCCCCACCCCACGCCCACAACGGCUACACCGAGUACUUCAGCAUGCACACGGGUGGGGGGCGGCACUUGUAGCCCCCCCACCACUGAGGGGGGGGCCGUCCUGCCCCAUGGCCACCCCCAAUCCUGCCCCCACAGGGACCCCAAUUUAUGCCCCAGUGGGAUCCCAAAUCCUGCCCCCCAGGGGGACCCCAAAUCCUGCCCCCACAGGGACCCCAAGUAUUGCCCCACAGGGACCCCAAAUCCUGCCCCCCAGGGACCCCAAGUAUUGCCCUCCAGGGGCCCAAAUCCUGCCCCCCAGGGACCCCAAAUAUUG
rnacentral:lncRNA from 1 species